ensembl:snRNA U6 U6 spliceosomal RNA
GGGCUCACUUCGCACAUAUAUUAAAAUUGGAAUGAUACAGGGAAAAUUAGUAUAUCUCCUGCACGAUGAUAGCAUAUAAAUUCAUAAGGCAUUAUAUAUUUAA